rnacentral:rRNA from 1 species
CCCGCGUCUGAUUAGCUAGUUGGUAAGGUAAUGCUUACCAAGGCGACGAUCAGUAGCCGACCUGAGAGGGUGAUCGGCCACACUGGAACUGAGACACGGUCCAGACUCUACGGGAGGCAGCAGUGGGGAAUAUUGCACAAUGGGCGAAAGCCUGAUGCAGCAACGCCGCGUGAGCGAUGAAGGCUUCGGGUCGUAAAGCUCUGUCCUAAGGGAAGAAUAAUGACGGUACCUUAGGAGGAAGCCCCGGCUAAUACGUGCCAGCAGCCGCGGUAAUACGUAGGGGGCGAGCGUUAUCCGGAAUCAUUGGGCGUAAAGGGUGCGUAGGCGGUUAUGCAAGUUAGGGGUGAAAGGCUACGGCUCAACCGUAGUAAGCCUUUAAAACUGCAUAACUUGAGUGCAGGAGAGGAGAGUGGAAUUCCUAGUGUAGCGGUGAAAUGCGUAGAUAUUAGGAGGAACACCAGUGGCGAAGGCGAMUCUCUGGACUGURACUGACGCUGAGGCACGAAAGCGUGGGGAGCGAACAGGAUUAGAUACCCUGGUAGUCCACGCSGUAAACGAUGAGUGNUAGGUGUCGGGGGUCGAACCUCGGUGC